CAAAUUGUUAAGAUUUAAGUUCUCUCUAUAUUGAUUUCUAAAUUCAACACAUCAUCACAGUGAAAUCAAAGCAUGCUGUCCUAUUAAUGGAAAAAUUGAUUUUAAAAUUUAUAUGGGGGCCGGCGCUGUGGUGUAGCGGGUAAAGACAUAUAAAUAAGAGAUCAUGGUAAAGGAUGGAAGAGAAUAGAACAAACCAUUGAAUGGGGGGAAACCAUGAGAAUGCCUCUGGGGAAACACCGUCUCUCCACCAUGUUACAUAUUAGAUUUGGACAUCUGGGGAAAUCAGGGGGGUUAUCAGGUCUUUUUGAAAUGGAUCUUUGUGUAGUACUCAGUAAAGAGCCCCUUUUCCAAUCACAGUAUCUUGCCUGCCCCUCCUCCUCUCCCCCCCCCCCCAGUGGCUCCCUCUACCUUCACAGGAAUGUCAAGAUUGGUGCUUUGUGAUGUCUAAGCCACCACAGGGCUAUCAUUGGCUGGGAUAGCUCCUUGUUGACCAAACAAAGCUGAAGGGUGUGUCAUCCCAGCCAAGGCAUGGUAUAUAAAGAGGGCAGGAGACCAGGAUAGACCUAGAGUAAACAAGUACAGCUAAGGAGAUCUGCACAUCCCAGAAAUCUACCACAACUAUGGAAGACUCAAUCAUGAAUACAAUCCCAAGGACUAAAGGGAAGAAGCAAAGGAAGACCACAUGUCAACAAAAGAAGAAAACCAUGAAGGUGAAAGAAACCCUCCACAGGAAGUUGAGAAAAAAAUCUCCCCAAUCAGUCCGCUCCUCUUCAAGAGAAGCAAGGGAAGCAGUAAGACCAACAAUAUUCAUUUGUUUUCACAAACUGAAUGAGACACAAAAUAAACCUCAGGAGAACGGGAACACAGACCAUUGGAAAAUCAACGAGUUCCAUGUGACAUGCUGUGCAGCCCGUAAAUGCCAAGCCUGGGCCAGAGAACUAGUUGCAGCAUCCUCCAAGACAGUGGUGAAGCAAUGGCCAAUUACAUAGGGACCAAAUCUGAGACCAACAGUCUACAGGAAGGUUGGCAACUGAAAUAAAGUCAAGUGGCUGCAGAAAGAAAAUGUGUAU
rnacentral:lncRNA from 1 species